rnacentral:ribozyme from 1 species
AGAGAAGAGAAGAGAAGAGAAGAAAUGAUUGCUUUGGAUCGAUCUGGCAAUUUCUUUUGUCAUUGAGCUUCUUUGUUUCCGUUCUUUUCUUUGCGCGCUUGCUUAAUUGUGUGUAUG